rnacentral:misc_RNA from 1 species
AAAGUCGUAACAAGGUUUCCGUAGGUGAACCUGCGGAAGGAUCAUUAUGAAUUUGAACUUGUGUAGUGGUUUGUUUCGAAUUAACGUUUGAACGCCCUCGCAAUUCUUUUUCUGUGAACUGUUCUUGAGCUUUUCAAUUUAUUUUGGAAAGCUUGGGUUACUUUUUUUGUUUUCUUGUAUUAUUCCACUUUUUUUUUUGAGUAAUUCUUGCAAAAGAAUGAAAAAAAAAACAUAAAAACCAAGACAACUUUCAGCAAUGGAUCUCUUGGCUCUU